ACAUGCAGUCGUACGCUUCUUUUUCCACCGGAGCUUGCUCCACCGGAAAAAGAAGAGUGGCGAACGGGUGAGUAACACGUGGGUAACCUGCCCAUCAGAAGGGGAUAACACUUGGAAACAGGUGCUAAUACCGUAUAACAAUCGAAACCGCAUGGUUUUGAUUUGAAAGGCGCUUUCGGGUGUCGCUGAUGGAUGGACCCGCGGUGCAUUAGCUAGUUGGUGAGGUAACGGCUCACCAAGGCCACGAUGCAUAGCCGACCUGAGAGGGUGAUCGGCCACAUUGGGACUGAGACACGGCCCAAACUCCUACGGGAGGCAGCAGUAGGGAAUCUUCGGCAAUGGACGAAAGUCUGACCGAGCAACGCCGCGUGAGUGAAGAAGGUUUUCGGAUCGUAAAACUCUGUUGUUAGAGAAGAACAAGGAUGAGAGUAACUGUUCAUCCCUUGACGGUAUCUAACCAGAAAGCCACGGCUAACUACGUGCCAGCAGCCGCGGUAAUACGUAGGUGGCAAGCGUUGUCCGGAUUUAUUGGGCGUAAAGCGAGCGCAGGCGGUUUCUUAAGUCUGAUGUGAAAGCCCCCGGCUCAACCGGGGAGGGUCAUUGGAAACUGGGAGACUUGAGUGCAGAAGAGGAGAGUGGAAUUCCAUGUGUAGCGGUGAAAUGCGUAGAUAUAUGGAGGAACACCAGUGGCGAAAGCGGCUCUCUGGUCUGUAACUGACGCUGAGCUCGAAAGCGUGGGGAGCAAACAGGAUUAGAUACCCUGGUAGUCCACGCCGUAAACGAUGAGUGCUAAGUGUUGGAGGGUUUCCGCCCUUCAGUGCUGCAGCUAACGCAUUAAGCACUCCGCCUGGGGAGUACGACCGCACGUUGAGACUCAGAGGAGUUGACGGGGCCCGCACAAGCGGUGGAGCAUGUGGUUUAAUUCGAAGCAACGCGAGGAGCUU
rnacentral:rRNA from 1 species